AUGCUUGCAGCAGCAGCAUAUAUACUAAAAUUGGAACAAUACAGAUAAGACUACUAAAGCCCCUUUGAAAAGGCAAUACCAAAACACAGUAAGUGUUCUGUACUUUA
ensembl:snRNA U6 U6 spliceosomal RNA